AUACAGAGGGUGCGAGCGUUAAUCGGAAUUACUGGGCGUAAAGCGCGCGCAGGCGGCUUAUUAAGUCAGAUGUGAAAUCCCCGGGCUCAACCUGGGAACUGCAUCUGAUACUGGUAAGCUAGAGUUUUGGAGAGGGAAGUAGAAUUUCAGGUGUAGCGGUGAAAUGCAUAGAGAUCUGAAGGAAUACCAGUGGCGAAGGCGACUUCCUGGCCAAAAACUGACGCUGAGGUGCGAAAGCGUGGGUAGCAAACGGGAUUAGAAACCCUAGUAGUCC
rnacentral:rRNA from 1 species